rnacentral:rRNA from 1 species
GGUGAAAGGCCCGUGCGAAUGGAGGCUCAGACAAGUAAGGCAAUUCACCAGGCCGGCCUUCGAGUCGGGUUGUUUGGGAAUGCAGCCCAAAGCGGGUGGUAAACUCCAUCCAAGGCUAAAUACAAGCACGAAUCCGAUAGCGAACAAGUACCGUGAGGGAAAGUUGAAAAGUACUUUGAAAAGAGAGUAAACAGCACGUGAAACCGCAUAGAGGUAAACGGGUGGCGUCAAGCUGCAAGCCCGAAGGAUUCAGUCGGCAAGGGUGUUGUGAUGUGCCUGGCGCAUCUAUCAGUCGGAAUAAGCAUCAGUAGUCCGCUGGUUAAUGGCGGGCCCGACUUCGGUUGGGAUUUGUGUACCGGUUGGAUGCCGGAGCAUGCUGCUGGUCUGUUGGACUGCCUUGUCGGUGCACUUCCUUCGUGGUGAACACCACGACCGAUGGUACUGCCAGUCUGCUGUAGCUAAGUCGUAUGUGAGCAGUCCUUGUGGCUGUUUGUGUGCGAUCACAGAUAGAUUCGGUGCACGGCGUAAGUUGGCUCUCGGGUCGGCUUGCGUGUUAUCGUUCACUGGCUGUCAUCGGGCCGGACUAUGGUUGUUGUAACUGCCAUAGAUCGGUCUGGUGGGCUAUGGUGGUAAGAAUAACUGUGCAGGGCAUCGGAGCUCUCGGCCUCAAAUGUGGCCUGCAUCCACGUUAUAAGUGGUAGGUGCGGCGUCGUAGCCUGCCUAUUCCUGGGUCUGAUCGUCGUGUUGCCUGCGCAAAGUGGGCCCGGCGGUGGCUCGGGGUAGGAUGGAGUUAUUGGCGUCGUGUCGUGUGCAGGUCAUGGUGGGCCUAACAGUCUGUGGUGUAGUGGUAGACUAGCUUCCCGACCCGUCUUGAAACACGGACC